AUGGGUUCUUCUAAAGUGGUCUGCUUUCCACACCUCGACAAAAUAUAUCGGGGUCAGGACGUGGUUCUGUCAUGUCGAGUAGAACCUCCAUUUGACUUGACGAAUGAGACCUUGGAAUGGAAACAUGGCAAAGAGAAUGUUCACCGGUAUCCAAGUUUGUGGGACUACCUAGACCAUCAAUACUCGAGGUUCUUUAACAGGACCUUCCUCAACCACCUGAACCUGAAGGAUGGAAUCGCUUCCCUCACACUGACCAACUUCACCAACCAGGAUGAAGGAAACUACUCCUUCUGUCUUCCUGAGCUGCUCAGUUGUUCUGACAUCACCCUGACGGAGAGAUCUGAUCUGAGCUUUGGUGACUACUCUGCCAUAGUUGGAGGUGUUUUUGGUUUUUUUGGUGUUUUUGGUGCUGUUGUUGGGGGGAUCCUGGCGUUUUUACGUUCUAGAAACAGAAACAGAGACAGAACUGAUCUCCAACCAGAGUCUGCUUCCAUCCCUCUGAGAUGGUGUAAAGACCCCCGCCACAGUAUCUGCGGAAGCCAGAACCCCCCAGAGCCCGAACUGCAGCAGAUGGAGAGCAACUGCCCCCCGGGUGAUUGCUUCCGCUACCCAGGCCAGGGCCAGCAGGACCGCCCACGGGGCUCCCAGAGCCCCCAGAGCCAGAGAGCAGGGGGGCAUGGGGGGGGGCAGAGGAGGGAGGGCCCAACGCAGGGCCCCGCCCAUGAAGGGCGCCUCAUCACCCUCCGGGAGCUCUGGGAAUCCCCUGGCUUCAACCUUUUUUUCACAAGCCAGGACCCCCAAGGGAAACCCACCCGCGCUCCAGGCACCCACCCAUCCGGCCUACGGUAGGUCCAGAAAGGAGCAAGGCAGGGGCCAGUACUGAGAUCAAGGUUCUGUAGAAAGAGACUGACUGAUUACAUUGGUUGUGCUUUGCUGUCAGAGUUCAUCACUUUAGUUAGCUAAUUAGUUUAAAGCUAGAAAAAAAACAUAUCUAGAAAAAUCAGAAGAAUUGCUGGAAAUCCAGUAGAAAAGCAGCAAAAAGCAAAGUUCAUCAGAAUGUCUUGAUGUCGUUUUUGUGAAGGCUGCUGUAACAGAAUGACAGCAUAAAGAUAAAAUGAUGUUCAUGAGUUAAUUCCUUAAAGUAAAUGCUCCCUCUCUGCAGGAACCCAGAAGACCCAGCUGAGUUUUGAACAUCACUAAGGAGGAAAGGAUGCUAACCACUACACCAAAGAGCAGCCAAGCUCCUACAGAGAAAAACCUUCAUCUUUGGUGGAUCGAUGUCUCUAAAUCCUUCCAAACUUAUGCCCUAAAUAACCACAAAAGUUGAACUUAGCUCCUGGAUGAGGCCGUUAAAGCUUUGACGUUGUAACGUUGUGAAAAAGAGUUCUGCAGAGAGAAAAAGUAAAAAAAAAUCUCACUUUAUCAAUAAUGACCAUUAACCUCAUGAAGUCUGGUUGGACGGCUACUGUCUCAAAUUAUGCAUAAAUUAAACAGGAGCUGCACAACCCGGGGGUCACAGUCACCAAAAGGAGGAAAGGUACAACACUAAUAGACUGAAUGCAGGCUUCAGUCCCCCAGGGCAAACUGAUGACCUCAUUAUUAAAGGACACCCAAAUGACUCCACCCCUUAGAUCGUUACAACGUCCAGAAUCUCAUCUGACAUUUCUACUUAAGGCUGUGUCUGCAUCUUUUUCCUUUCCUGUGCCUUCGUCCCAACAGCCCUUACGGGUGGGUAGGACUGUCUGCGAGCAAAAAAUGGUCAAACAGGUACGCACAAAGUAUCAGCACCACUAGGACAGUGAACACUUAUAGGACACGUUAGGGUGACGUAGGUGGGACGCAUUUUUCGACACCCAAAUCUUGCUCAGGUAGCAGGUUAGUGCCGUUCACGUGAUUCGUGUGCGCUCCUUGCUGCACCCUGACUGUUGGAAAUGAGGAAAUUGGACAAUGACACAAAUUUGGCAAUUUGUGUAACCGUCCUACAAGCACUUACAUAUCACGUGCACACCCGUGUGCGUGUGGGAUUUGCAUGCAGUCAGUAAGGAGUCAGUACUCUCACCUCACUGAGAGUGUGUGUAAGGACACCGUACGACAUCAUCACCUGUACGUCAUAAGUACGUUCAAAUUCCAUUAACCUUACGAAUACUUCACGAUACGCUUACCACAUGUACGACAAUGGUACGUUCCAUUUUCAUGAGGUCCCUUGAGGUGGUCGCCCAAGCCUCAAGGUAACUGUACAACACACCUGUACUCCCCUGAAGAUGCAGCCACUCUUCUCCCCGACCCUCCACAGACCCGGACAACCCAAAAACCUGCAGUUCCUGUCCAGGUUGACCGUGUGACCAAGGCUUUAGUCAUUGAAAGCUGGGAUUACCUGAUAAUUGUCAGCCUGUGUUGACCCCAACCUUUGCAAUGGUUCAUUGGUUUAAGCUACUAGUUUGUUGAACAACGAUGGACACACAACUGUGUGUCGGUGCUGCUUAUUGAUUGGAAAUUGGAACAAAUAGCGAGAAAAGGAACAAUGGGAGGAGUUACAGCUUGAAGACGUGUUAGAGAUGAGCGAUGAACCUAAGAGUUUUCAUUUCAAUUCAAUUUUAUUUCUAUAGCUAAAGAUUCACAACAACAGUCUUCUCAGUAAGCUUCAUACUGCUAAUUGUGUAAUAAACAUGAAUUAUAGAGAACAUAAAGUCAUAUAAUUCAACAGGUAAUGGCUAAACUAAACAGAUUAAACUAAACUGGUCAUCUCUGCCCUUAGACCCUACUUCUCUAUAAAGAAAAACAGUGUUAAGGAGGCUUUUUGGUUGAAAAGUGGAACAAAUAGCCUGAAAAGGAACAUUGGGAGGAAUUCUAGCUUGAAGACGUGUUCAAGUUUUAUAUUGAGCCCAAUAUUACAACAAUUGUCGUCUCAAUGGGCUUCAUGUUGGUAAUUGUAUAAAAAAACGAAGUCAUAAAUUUCAACAGGUAAUUGCUAAGCUAAAUGAAACAAACUAAGCUAAACUGGGCAACCCUGCCCAAAGACCCUCCUUCUUGGUUAGGAAAACAGGGUUGAUACUAUUGGUUUUCUGGUCUCUUUCGGCUCCAUUUCUGUUUUCGUAAUGACUCAACAGCCAAACAGCCAAAUGGGAAGAAAUACCAAAAAAAGCUUUUUUAUCAGACAGGUAUUGACUGGUUUUUCAGUCAAACUUGUCAAAAAGUGAAAAUCAUCAAUCCGUUGGUAUCAACUUAGACUACGGUCACAUAUCUGAAAACGCUACCAUGCGGCGCUUUAAAUGCCAGUUUUGUUAUUGGGAGGCGGCAGUCGUAUUUCUACAUGCCGUCUAGGGCCACAGAGGUUUUAAGUAAAACUUUAGAAAAGCUUUUUUUACUCAGCUAAAUGAUGUUAUUAAUGAAAACAACAUUUUAAUACUUUCAGUCUGGUUUCAGACCUCACCACUCAACAGAGAUGGUACUUGUCAGGGUCUUAAAUGGUCUUAGGUCCAAUGCUGACAUGAAGAAAGUAUCUCUUUUAGUCUUACUGGACCUGAGUGCAGCCUUUGACACAGUUGACCACUCUAUCCUUUAAAACAGACUUCACCACAUGGUUGGAAUUACUGGGAUAGCUUUUAAUUGAUUUAAAUCCUACCUCACAAAUGGAGGUUUCAUUGUUAAUUUAAAUGACUUUUCAUCUGGGAGGCACAAACUGACAUGUGAGGUGCCCCAAGUCUCUAUCCUUGGUCUUUACAUGCUUCCUCUUGGUGAUGUCAUCAGGAGACACGGCAUUAACUUUCAUAGCUAUGCUGAUGACACUCAACUGUAUGUAGCUGUGUCUCCUGAUGAUAUUGAACCCAUGAAUAGAGUUCUAAACUGUAUUUUAGAUAUUAAAAUGUGGAUGGGAGAGAACUUUUUGCUGCUCAACCAGGACAAAACUGAAGUCUUGGUAACAGUUUGGAGGCGGAGAGAGAUAGGGUUCCAUUUUAUCUGUCACCCAAUUCUAUGACCACAUGUGAUACAGUAAGGAACCUCUGUGUGAUUUUAGAUGCAGAUCUGAGCUUUGAUCAACAUGUGAAUCAAGUAACUAAAUCUGCAUUUUACCAGAUUUCUGAUUUCUCUCUAGAGCCAGUGCUGAAAUCUUAUUUCAUGCUUUUAUCACAUCAAGGAUAGAUUACUGUAAUGCCCUUUCUGGUGGAAAGAAAAUCACUCUCAAUCGCGUGCAGCUAGUCCAGAACUCUGCUGUACGCCUUUUAACGAGAACCAGGAAGAGGGAGCACAUUACACCAAUAUUAAAAUCUCUGCCUUGGCUCCCUGUUUGCUUCAGGAUUGAUUUCAAGAUUCUUUUAAUAGUUUAUAAGAGUGUUAAUGGUGUUGGUCUUUCUUUUAUAUCCGACUUGCUUUUAACUUAUGAACCUCCCAGAGCCCUUAGGUCCUCAGGUGCAGGCCUGCUGAAGGCCCCCAUGGUCAGGACAAAAUCCACGGCCAGGCCUCGUUUAGAAACUAUGGACCUCGUCUGUGGAACAGAUGUGAGGGCCUCAUCCACUGUCGAGGUUUUCAAAAAAAAAUUAAAGACAUACCUGUUUAAUUCAGCUUUUAAUUAGAUUUCAUAUCAUAUCUUUUUUAAGAUAGAAUUUAUUUGAACUCUUAUGGAUGCUCAUCAUUAUGGUCAGGUUCAGUACUCUAUUUUACUACUACUCUAUUUUAUGAUAUUUUAUCACAUACUUAUUUGUUUAAUCUAGAAUUUUAACUCAUAUUUUUAUGUUUCAUGAUAUUUUAUCUCAUACAUAUUUGUUUAAUCAAGAACUUUUACUCAUAUUUUUAUAUUUCAUGAUAUUUUAUCACAUACUUAUUUG
rnacentral:lncRNA from 1 species